rnacentral:rRNA from 1 species
CACGUAGGGCGCAAGCGUUGUCCGGAAUUAUUGGGCGUAAAGAGCUCGUAGGCGGUCUGUUGCGUCCGCUGUGAAAACUCGGGGCUUAACCCCGAGCCUGCAGUGGAUACGGGCAGACUAGAGGUAGGUAGGGGAGAAUGGAAUUCCCGGUGUAGCGGUGAAAUGCGCAGAUAUCGGGAGGAACACCUGCGGCGAAGGCGGGUUGCUGGGCUGACACUGACGCUGAGGCGCGAAAGCCAGGGGAGCGAACGGG